rnacentral:tRNA from 1 species
AAGAUAUUAGUAAAGUGCAUAUUACAUCACCUUGUCAAGAUGAAAUCGCAGGUUAAAUCCCUGUAUAUCUUA